CAGAUUGUAGCUUAUGUUAAAGCUUUUUAGUUACAUUAAUAGGAAAAUGAAUUUAUUCUGUCUGA
rnacentral:tRNA from 1 species